UACGUAGGGUGCAAGCGUUGUCCGGAAUUAUUGGGCGUAAAGAGCUCGUAGGCGGUCUGUCGCGUCGGCUGUGAAAACCCGGAGCUCAACUCCGGGCCUGCAGUCGAUACGGGCAGACUGGAGUUCGGCGGGGGAGACUGGAAUUCCUGGUGUAGCGGUGAAAUGCGCAGAUAUCAGGAGGAACACCGGUGGCGAAGGCGGGUCUCUGGGCCGAUACUGACGCUGAGGAGCGAAAGCGUGGGGAGCGAACAGG
rnacentral:rRNA from 1 species